ensembl:lncRNA
CCUCCACUUUUGCCACAAUAACCCCAUGCAGCACUAUAGGCCUGGGGCUGAGUGGCUGGAUGACUGUGAAGAGCAAAGGGACCUGAGGGUGUUGGUUGAUGCUUGGCUGAACAUGAGCCGACAGUGUGCCCAGGUGGCCAAGAGGGCCAGCGGCAUCCUGGCCUGCAUUAGAAAUAGUGUGGCCAGCAGGAGCAGGGAGAUAAUCAUCCGCCUGUACUCAGCACUGGUGAGGCCGCACCUCGAGAACUGUGUUCAGUUGUGGGCCCCUCACUACAAGAAAGACAUUGAGGCCCUGAAGCGUGUCCAGAGAAGGGCAACAAAACUGGUGAGGGGUCUGAGCACAGGCCUUAUGAGGAGCGGCUGAGGGAGCUGGGAUUGAUUAGUCUGGAGAAGAGGAAGCUCAGGGGGGACCUCAUUACACUCUACAACAUCCUGAAGGGAGGUUGUGAUGAGGAGGGGUUUGGCCUCUUCUCCCAGGCAACAAACAGGACCCGAGGAAAUGGCCACAAGUUAUGCCAGAGGAGGUUUAGACAUAAGGAGAAACUUUUUCUCUCAGAGAGUGGUCAGGCACUGGAAUGGCCUGCCCAAGGAGGUGGUGGAGUCACUGUCCCUGGCAGUGUUCAAGAGGCGUCUGGAUGAGGAGCUACGAGAUAUGGUUUAGUGGCUUGUGGUUGCAAGGGUAAUGGGAGGACAGCUGGACUAGAUGAUCUUGUAGGUCCUUUCCAACCUUGUGAUUCUAUGAUUCUAUUCUAUGAUUCUAUGUUUUCGUCACCUUCACAGCUGGAUUUGAGACAGCUGUAGUAGAGAUGAUGUUUUUGAGCACAGUCUUCUCCCUCUCUCAGUGAUCCUCAUUUUUUCCGUUCCGGAAACACAAUCAUUACAUUCAUUUUGCAAUCAUUUGGAUAUUUCUCAAAAUAUAUAGAAACAGUUUCUCAAUGAAUAUGUAAACUUCUUUUUCAUGAAAGAGUAUAAAUUACCCAUCAAAGAAUAUUGAUAAUUACUUUUGUUAACAUCUCUAAAAUACCAAAUGUGUGAAGUAACAAAAAUCCCUUCGUCUUAACAUUAUGAAUUCAUAGGUGAAAAGCAUUGCUUUUUUAAGAGUGGGAUGAAUGUUGAACAUAAUUUUCUCCCUGAAGUAGCAUCCAUGGAACAGACAAAGGAAGGAUGGAGCUGGCUGAAUUCUUCAGAGAUUUUGUUCUGACAAUUAUUUGCAUGUAUAUUUAAAUUUCUUUGUCUCUGCUUGUCUUUGUCUUUGUGAGUUGAAUGUGUCCACACAUCAGUUGCUUUGAGGAAUAUGUGUGCUUUACUGCAUCUUUCAUUACUUUCUGACAGAAAGAGUAUUCUAAAGCAAAGGUCUCAAUUCAGGCAGCUUGGUCAGAUAUAUGUUUUUGUUUGUCCUCAAAAUGAUGGACGUAAAACACAGACAACAUGAUCCUUGUCUUACUUAUGCCACUGUAAAUCAGGAUGAGCUUUGCUGAAAUCAGUGGGUAUAGCCUACUGUUUAAAAUAGACUUAGGAAAAUCAGGUAUUUGAGUGCUGUGUCAGUCCUUCUUUCUUUCUGGCACUUAGAAUCUCCUCUGGCCCAAAGCAACAACAAAAAAUCUGUUAAAAAAAUGUAUUGGGGGAAUCUAAAUAGUCACCUCUGAAUUUUAGCUGCAGAAAGUUGUGAUCCUUUGCAAUUACUGCUCUAGUCAAGAUCUUUAAACAUCAAGUGUCCUUACACAACAGCAGGAGAACAUAGAGCAUUCCUCCUUGCCUCCCAUCCAUCCCAGCUGAAGAUGUUGCUGCUCUGGUAUUUUGCAGUGUUAGACUUGUAGGUGUAGCUGACACAGCCAAAGAGUGCAGUCGGAGAACUGUACAGAAAUUCUUGAUUUGCUAGUGACUAUUAUUUUAAGCAUUUCCUCCAAGGCAAAUACAAAAGGGCUUUAGUAUGUAAUGGGUGUUUAAGCCUGUCUCUCCCUUUAAGUCUGGAGAUCAGUUAUUUAUAGGAAGCAGACAUCUAGGUAAUCUUACCCUUUUCUUCUGAGCACUGAAGGCAGCGGAGGUUGCAAUAUUAAUUGCUGCAUCAGCCACUUUAAGAUUUAAUGUUUUUCCCCAUUCUGUAGGCAAUGUAUCUCUUGCAUGAUUUCCCACAUAGUCUUCACUUUCACAGUCGUCUGAAUGAUAAGCAACAAUAAUGUCUUUGGAAGUGAUCCAUAAAUCAUAUUCAAAUCCACGCAUCCAAAUGAUCCUAUUUUUAAUCUCUAAACUACUGUAGUGUGUGCUUGCUAGUGCGGUUCAGUUGGAAGCAUUAUGUUCCCCACCUACAUAUUUCCUUCAAAUCAGUGACAGUGUACCUAAAAAUAAAUAAAUAAAUGCACCUGGAACUUGACUAAUAACAUACAGAAAAACUAUAGGCAACGGAGGGCUCCCCACAUAAAAUAUACUUAUAUACACUAGUGAAAACACAAUGUCUUAUCAGAAUUUGUAGAAGGAAGAUGAAUUGCUUUGGGUUAGGUCACUGAAUUAGAGCUGAAAGUGUCUAAAUUGUCUUCUCUGCUUUCCCAUAGAGUCUCUGAAUUACCUUGGACCACUAAAAUAUGCCUGUGAUUAUAUUAUCUCUCCACCUCCACCUCUUCACUUCAGUCCCUAUUUAAAACAGAAAAUGGUAGGAAAAUCACAAAAUUCUAAACAAAUUGAACUUUGUAGAUAGUGUUUAGAUACAAGCCAGGGUUUAGAAGCAACCCUGGUUUGGGCACAUCACUUGAGAUGAGACAGAGAGGGCUGGUCUAUUUAGUCUGACAUCUUGCUACUACUUUCCUGUGCUCCAAGGGAGCAUCUAAGGGAGCAUGAUGCAUUUUUGGUUUUCUUUUUGCAUCCUCAGACCAGUUUUCAUAUAUGGUUUCAAGAAGGUAAGAGAGGUGAUUUUGAAUUUCAUAGUACGUUUAGCUUACUGUGAUCUUCCCUUGCCAUUAAAGUCAAAGACAGUGGCUGGUGACAUCAGCAAAAGGAGUAGUGAGACUUCUUUCAUCAAGGAAUUGGAAUGUCACUGAUGAAGAAAUUCACAUUGUGAAUUUUGAAGAAGUCCAGCUCUGUAGGGAACUUAUUGUUCUGAUGGUCAAUUAAUAUUGCUCCUCUGCAGGGUUGCCAUUUGAUGUCUCCUUUCUUUAUGCACAGGUUUGCUUUGCUGCUUUUGUGUAAGCAAGUGCACUCCAACAGAGUUGCAAGUUGAGUGUGAUGCCUGGUUUCUGAAUGAUAUCUUGUAUUCUUAUCAGCAGGCAAGAAGAUGCUAUUUUGACUAUCAUUAAGAAUCUGAAGUAUUUUCCAUCUUACCAAUUUGGAAAUGAGUUGAUGUGAUCUGGUUUCAUUUCAGUGUAAGCUAGGUUUUAGGUCUGUUAACUGGUUAAUUUUGGGGGAAUUGAAAAGUCCCAGUCCUUGUAAGCAUGAGGAAAGAAGACAUUGUAUUUGUCUGAAUUGUGCUUAACUAACUCCCUCUCAAACUGUAUAUAUGAGAGAAGUAAGUUUUGGUUGCAUGUAAACAGGGAAAGACUUUAACUAAAACCAGGGUGAAAUGAAAUAUUUGCUAAUGUUAUGUUGGCUUUGAACAGCCCUGCCAGCAUAUGAUUUGAAGGGAAAAGGGGAGCAGUGUUAAUGAUAUGCUUCCCCACAGCACAGCUCUUUGAAUAGCACAGCCCAUGACUCUUGCUGAGCCCCCCGUUUGCUGCUGUUUCUUUGGUUGAAUUCUGUCUCUUUCCCACAGGGCUGUGUGGCAGGGAAGAAAGAAAUCCACAUCCAUUUGCUGGCUGCUCAUAAAAGAUACGCUAGUAGACAGAUCUGACCUGAUCUUGUUCUGUCUCAAAGGAACAUCAUUUGUUGAGACCACAGCUGAAAAUUCUUCUCCUUCCUUAGCUGCCCUCAGCUAAUCCAUUGGGAUCUUCUGAAGAUGAAAUCAGAAGUGAUGUCAAGCUUCACAGUUGUCAUCCUGAGUGGGAAUGGUUAUGCUCUUGUGGAGCUUUUCAGGGAACCCUCACACUCCUGUUCCUCCUGCCAUAUAUCUCUAAAUCCAGAAGACCUAGAAUCGUAGAAUAUGAUCAAUUGGAAAGAACCACUGAGUAUCAUUCAGUCCAACACCGGGCUCCACACAAGAUCACUAAAAAAUCAGACCGUAUGUCUGAGUUGUGCUGCUUCCUUGUAACUGGAUACAAAGAGCAGUGGGAAAAAGAUCUGUCUUCUACUAUCCCUGCAUUCUAAUGCCUAGGUUAGAAGAAUGUCCAACCCUUGCCUACGUUUUGGGUGUUGCCAGCAGCUCUGGGGGAGUAUGGGAGAUAGGUGACUGUGAUUCUGCUGCUUCCACACAUGCCCAUUACAUAGCCAGAAGUAGCAGGUGCACAUCCCUUCCACUGCCAGGACACCUCAUUAUGCAGACAUCCCCCGAGGCAGGCAGCUUCCAUCAUGCUAUCCAUGCUGGAGCGCUGUCUAAUAACCAUGAUCCUGACCUGAAUGCUAAUGGACCUGUGACUUCAGAAUGUUCUGUGCCCGCUUCGUAUGUUUCUCUUGAGGUUAUCAAAGAAAGUUUUUCCUUCCAGUGGCAGGAAGGAGAGUGCUUUCAGUUAUACAUGGGAUUUUCAGGACAUUUGGCUUGGGUGUUUUCAACUAAGUAAGUCAUAGUUAUGGAUCACAAAGAAGUAUAUAAUAUUGGAAAGGGUAUUGGUGUUAUGUGGUACUUCAGGUUUCUGUACAUAAUCUCAGCACUGGUGCUGGACUUUUAGGGAAGCAUGCAAUAACUGUUCUGAGCCUCCACAUUCAGUGUAUGCCUAAACUGUGAGUGCAUGUUUUACUGAAAAGCUCUAGUAAAGGAUCAAGAGCUUAAAUUCUGCAUCCACGCUAAUUGGUGAAUGUGGGCUAUUUUCUUCAAGAUGGUUCUGCCUAUUGUCAGCGUUGACAAUAUUACAAGCUUUAAUUAUUUAGUUGUUCUGUUGAAAGCAAAGCAAUACAAAAGUUUUACCUUGAGAAGCUCUCUUAGUAAUGUAAGUGGCUUGUUACAUUAUGGGUUAAAAAGAGGAGAUGCUCCUUGAUCAGAUAGCUCAUACAUUGCUCAACAAUGUCUAAAUAAUUUAUUGUGGCUUUUGAUAAGGGUCACAUCCAACACAAGCUGAGGUGGAAAUUCUCAGUUGAAUUCAGAUCAGAAUAGCAACCUUCUUUAGCUCUUUCCUUUUACCGAAUUUAGCAUAAGUGGAACUGCAGUGUCUGAGUGAAUGAAUCUUAAUCAUAAGAUGUUGUUUAGCAGCAAGUGCAAGCAACGGUGAACUCAAACCAGAUACAAUUUAGGGUAUGUGUACAUACCAGAAAUAGGCAUAUGAGUGAGAAUAAAAAGUUUUGGUUUUUAUCUAUCACUGUGUCUGCAGGCUUACUAUUUAUGUAUGCAGAAGAAGUGAUAAUUGGGUUCCAAGUACAGAUGGAGACUCAGAAUUCUCUAGGAUAAGGCUUUUUACAGGCUUAGAACAUCUCAACGCUGUUAAGACUGCUGAUGUGAAUUUUCUGUUUACAUCCAACAGGAAGUGUUUCAGUUUUCCUUGUCUGUGCAGAUUCAGACAAAACCUCUUAUGGUUCUUUGUUUUUGACUCAGCACUGGCAGCUCUCCUUUCUGUUAGAUGACACUGUAAAGAUGUGACAGUUCCUGUGGAAAUGACACGAACCCUACACAGAGCUUCCAUCCUGCUGUAGUUCCCUUCCAUAAUAUUUAUGGGUGGCAACAUUUUCUUUAAGCCUCAGUCCUUUAGGGUAAGUAAAAGUAACACUAACUAUUGCAGAAAAACACAUUCCCCUCUAAAUUAUAUCUUUUUUUCAGGUUAAAAGUAUGUAAUUUCAUGAGGAACACUUUGGGACUUAUCCUGCUGUGAAGUCAUUGCUCAAUUUCUCUCAGCAGCAGUAAGGUGCCCACAGUUCUUAAACUGCUGAAUAGCCCCUGUGAAAGUCAAGACACCGGUAUUGUGGAUGACAGCUGAUGCUGAUAUUGGCACACAGCUCAUAGUGCUGUAACAGCUUGAGAUUUUGCUUCAGGGUUCCCAGUGUUUGCGUAGUUCAUGUAUGUCAGGCUCCUGGUUAAUCAUAGCUCACCGUAUGGUGAAUGCAUCCUAUUGACUUGACCGGUUUUAAGCAAUUAAUUUUAAAAAGAUGGCAGUGUCUGUCUUUUGCUGUUUUUCCCACUCUAAAAUAAUAAACUAAAUGCCCGUGGUUUGGACCUAACUUCAACUGUAAGUGUUAGGCAAGAAGGCAGAGAAGAAAAAAGAGAAGACUGUUUUAAAGAUGAAUAUAUGCUUAAAGACAACAACAAAGAAAAACAUUUUCAUGAGCCAAAAAAGAAUGAAUCAGAAUUGGAAAGAUGGCCAGGAUAACUUAAAAGAAUAUAUGGUGAAAAUAAAUGAAGCCUAAUAAAUUCAAAAGCGGGCUCUUUUUUUGGAGUUGAAGGUUUGAAAAGCAAAUACUGAUUUUUGUGGAAGAUUUAUAGGCAGGACACGGUGCCAGUCAAAUGCAGAAUAGUUGGAAGGAGAACGAUAUUGCUGAGUCAAACUGAGAGGCUCCAGCUCUACUAGUUGUCCUGGAAAAAGUAAAGAAGGGAGAGAAAAAGGAAGAAACUGGUUAAACAGCUCUUUGGGUUCUGGUGGCUUAUUAUUAUUAUUAUUAUCAUUUCCAGGAAAAUUAUUAGAAAGUUGAAGCAGAGUCACACAUUGUCAGGAAACAGGCUGCUGGAAGGAUGGUGCAAACAUCAUAAAACUGUCUGCAGAAGACAGUUUCAUGUAUUAAUUACAGGUGUGCUGCUGAGCUCAUGCUAAGAUUUGAGGGAUUAACAAUGUAAAGGAGCAUUUUUCCUGUCCCCUUUGCCCCUCUUUCCCCAGUUUCAGACUGGCUUUGUCUGAAAUAUACACCGAUUCUGACAGUCUUCCUCUACUUUGGCUCCAGUUGCUACCUCCACCCCUAGCCUGGCUCAGCCACCUUGUUAUUAAUCACGUUUGUCUGAGUGCCUGGAGAUACCCGAGCAAGCUCAGUCUUCAGCUAUUUGAAAUCUGAGGGCUCUUCUUAUUUUGGAUCAGUGCCAGCUGCUCUUCCCUGACCACCAGUCCAGAUGGAGAUCAUCCAUCUCAUCCAGAAAGAAGUUUUUGCAAGCACGACGCUGCCACUUUAUGAUGACGGACAACUUUCUGCUGGGGAGAGUGAUUACAAGAAGAGUGGGACGGCGUGUGAUAAAGUUACCUGGGAAAAUGUAAUUUUUUAAGAGUAGAUGGAGGUUUGAGCAUGAACCUUUGAUUAGAGCUGACUAAUACCAAGCCACAAAUAAUUUUUUUUUGCGGACAACAUGUAUAUUUGUGUGAGAAAGUGUGUAUGUGUGUGUGUGUGUCUCUGUGCGUAUUGUUUUUUUUUUGGUGGUUUUGUUGUUUUUUUUUCUCCUUCUGAUAGAAAUUCCACUUUCCUUUCCAAAAUGUUCCCUUUUUUUCCCCCUCUGAAUGAAUUACUUUCCUCCUUUCCAGAUACCUGAAAUAGGAGGGACAGGAGAAUUCUUAGAAUCUAUUUUGAACUUUUCCAUGAACACCACAAUUUUUUGUUAACUACUUCUGAAAUGCAUCAACACAGAGAGACAAGUUUCCCACCUGCCUUGGAAGGCAUUGCCAUGUCCUUCCUCCAGUUACCCUUUAUUUUUCGCAGUCUUUCAGCUACAUGUAGUAAGUUAAGUUCUCUUACCUUUUACUCAUACAUCAUACCUUCCAACAUGCUUAUCUUUAUCGCUGUUCUUUGUAUUCGCUCUGUUUUAUUGCCAUCCUCUUUAUAUUGAGUUGUCCAAAACUGAUCACAGUUUUCCAAGAGGGGCCUCACCAGGACUCUGUGCGGAGGAAUUAUUACCUCUGUAGUCCUGCAAGUAAUUCUGCUCCACAUCCCAGUAUGGUAUUUGCCUCUUUGUGCUACAGUCUCUCACUGUGAGCUGAUAUUUAAUCUGUCAUCCACUAUCACUCCCUAAAUAAGUCCGGCAGCACUUCCGCUUUAGUAAUAAAAACACAGAAAUGUUUGACAAAAAAGUAAAGUUAUCCCCUUGGGUGGUUCUUUAGAGAAAACCAGGGUUUUUGUACAGCUGCAAAGACACUGUAACACAACCUCAUGCUCUGCGUCCACAUAUCUGGAUUUUGCAGCUCUAAUGCCAAGAGUCAAAACAGAUAUGGCAUUUCCUAUUUGUACAUAUUUUCUGAACAUUUUCUGGUAGCAGCCCUGGACUACUCAGAGCAUUGAUACAGCAGAGGAAUGCCACAUCUACUUUUAGAGUUCAUAUCUACUAGAUUUAGAGUGCAGAAAUCCUGCUGUGCUUUAUGGAGUUUGGAUGUAUGUGUUGUGAAUGUUGUUUCAGUUACUUGAUAUUUUACGGAAAUUGAGUGAAUGCUACUGUAUAUGGGCAAAGCUGGGACGUGUCUUGACUCACAAUUUUUACCAUCUCCAGGUUUGGAGAGUUCUUCACUCGUCAAACUGGAUUCCUUUCAAGAACUGCCUGUCUUUCUUUUCUCCUGUUGUAUUUAUUUAGAAAAACUUUGUUGAUAUUUGAAUUUGAAAAGCCUGCACAACAUUUAAUCUCCUUUUUG